rnacentral:rRNA from 1 species
CCUACGGGAGGCAGCAGUGGGGAAUAUUGGACAAUGGGGGCAACCCUGAUCCAGCCAUGCCGCGUGUGUGAAGAAGGCCCUCGGGUUGUAAAGCACUUUCAGUGAGGAAGAACGCCUGGUGGUUAAUACCCAUCAGGAAAGACAUCACUCACAGAAGAAGCACCGGCUAACUCCGUGCCAGCAGCCGCGGUAAUACGGAGGGUGCGAGCGUUAAUCGGAAUUACUGGGCGUAAAGCGCGCGUAGGUGGCUUGAUAAGCCGGUUGUGAAAGCCCCGGGCUCAACCUGGGAACGGCAUCCGGAACUGUCAAGCUAGAGUGCAGGAGAGGAAGGUAGAAUUCCCGGUGUAGCGGUGAAAUGCGUAGAGAUCGGGAGGAAUACCAGUGGCGAAGGCGGCCUUCUGGACUGACACUGACACUGAGGUGCGAAAGCGUGGGUAGCAAACAGGAUUAGAUACCCGAGUAGUC